rnacentral:lncRNA from 1 species
AGUAGGGGUGAGCAUGGUCCGGGUUGGUCCGGGCCACCCCCUAAUCCUAGGACCAACCCGUACAGUGUCGGUCCUCAAUUUUUAGGACCAAGGACCGACCCUAUUGAGCCUGGGACCAAGGACCGGACCGACCCAAUGGGUUCGGUCCGGUUCCAGGGUCAACCCGGGACCGAUCGAUAAUUUUUUUCGUCUUAUUUUUUAUACUUCCUAAAAAAGCAAACCUACAAAUUCAAAUUACGCAUCCAUGAUCCAUCAACAAUACGAUAUUGUGCAACUAAAUUAUAAAAUACCAAUACAUAUUUAGCAAAUUUAAGAUGACACAAUAAUAGAAAUUUCAUAUCCGCUAACCGCUCAUCGAGAUAUGGGACAAGAUGGAAAGUUCUUGUAAUCAUCUAUCUUUAAUAUUUAUAACACCAUAUGCAAAAGCGUUUUCCUGAUCAUGUAGAGUUUACUCAACCAAAAAAUGAGCUUCGCACCACUUGACUAGCAUUUGAUCAUGUAGAGUCUACUCAACCAAAAAAUGAGCUUCACACCACUUGACUAACAAAUCACCGUAGCAACUGCAGUACUACUCUACUCUUCAAAAACUUCUACCAUUUAACACAAAUUGAAAAGCAAUUAAAUCAUAAAAAGUUUAAAAUACUUAAUAUAAACCAUGAAUAUAUAACUUCACAUCUUGUUAAUUCACUUGAACUUCUAAACACUUGAAAACAAAACAAACGACACAUAAUUAAUACUUAACAAAAGUUUUAAAUUGAAAUUACUAUUAGUGCUA